ensembl:lincRNA 4632411P08Rik RIKEN cDNA 4632411P08 gene
GGGAUUUGGAGAUCCGGGCACAGGUGCACCCGCCCUCACUUGUUUAUUGAAGCUUUUGGAUCACCCCGGGGCUUUUGGAUCACGCCUUGCUCCACCCUUGUUCUCAGAAUCUGAGUUUAGCACUGGGCUCGACCAACCUUAAAGACCUAGGGCCUACUACGGAAAAUUUCUCUCCCAAGCAAGUGCAAAGCGGGAAAGCCGUUGCAGCUUAGCACUCUGAAGUCCUUCUGCCUCUGCGGAGAUAGGAGAGCCGCUGUCCUGGAGAACUGAGAUAGCCUAGGGCCCCCAGGUCUGAAGAUGGGCUCUGAUGGUUAAUGAUCCUCUGUAGGCCUUAAACAACGCCCUUGAUAUGAGGCACGACUAAGUAUGCCAACACAGCCAUUUCCCUUCAUUAUGCAAUUUUUGUUUUAAAAUUGGAAUUUAAAGGAGUAUUUGGUUGGUUGAUUUGGAUUUUCUAGACAGGGUUCUCUAUGCAGUCCUGGUUGUCCUGAAACUCAAGAGAUCCGACUGCCUCUGCUUCCGGGGAGUCAUGAUUAAAGGCCUGGGCCAAAACAGCUGGAAUUAAAAGGAUUAUUUGCAAUUUUGAUUCUGGGUUCAUUUGGUAGAAGAGCCUGGGGAACCUGAGUCUUGCUCCCAGCGUGUGUUCCCGAUACAGCAGGCUCAUCAGUCAGCAACAACGUGUCUGAAUUCAAACCAGUUUGCCUUUGACGUGUCUUUAAAUGUCUCAGCCCUAAAGAACAAGGAAAAAGACCUUUUUCCUGGACAACCGCGUUCUGGGAGCUAGGUUAAAUACCCACCUGAACUGAUCUGGAUGAUUCCUGGGCUAAUCUGUCCAAAUCAAAGGAUAAACACAUCAGCUUUUGAGGUGUGUAGCUCUGGGGCAGAUAUUCCAGAAAGUAUUUCACAUCUUUCCAAUUGAAUACUGCAACCAUUUAAACCCUUACAUUUCUGUUGCAGGGCUAUUCAUGGAAGCUUACCCAGCUUUCAUUCAGUUUUAUUUGUUUCAUUUUCUUUGGCACUUUUAAACUUAGCCAAGAUAACCAACUUCAAAAAUGGACACCACUCCCCUGCCAAGCACUGUAAGACUCCAGGGAGCCUUAGCUUACCGAGGACCCCCUGAGUGAACCACGUGGAAUUUAUUUAUUUAUUUUGUUUGUUUGUUUUUCGAGACAGGGUUUCUCUGUGUAGCCUUGGAUGUCCUGGAACUCACUCUGUAGACCAGGCUGGCCUCGAACUCAGAAAUCCGCCUGCCUCUGCCUCCUGAGNNNNNNNNNNNNNNNNNNNNNNNNNNNNNNNNNNNNNNNNNNNNNNNNNNNNNNNNNNNNNNNNNNNNNNNNNNNNNNNNNNNNNNACUUUUUAUAUGGUUUCCAGGGGCAGAACAGAGCAUCAGCAACUAGGCACAAUAUGAUUGGCAGAACAGUGCACCCUUUAAACUGAUUGGUCUUUAGGGAAUGAGGUGACAAGGUCUUCCCUUGUCUGAAGCCCUGUUUCCAAGUCCUGAUGACACAUGAUUGGAAUUGAGCUGGAAAAAUGGCAUAGUUGCAACAUCUAAGCCUUCUUGGCCAAAGAGGGGGGAUGUCUUUAAAUGAGGCAAUAUCUUUUAGUCAGCUCUUGGCUCUGAGGUUACAAGACAAACCAUCAGACAAAAACAUGUGAAGAAAAUAUCUGAGAACAGGCUCCUCUCCACUCUGAGUACCGCAGGGUCAGGACACAAAGCACAGCAACCUCACUCCUCCCACAGGCCUGGUUCACUCUUGAGAACCAGUUCCCAGCUGCUGGCUGUAACCUCGGCACUAAGCAGGCAUCUUUGCAGAGCCUGGGCAAGGGGGCUGGAAAGUCUCACUGAGCUGGCAUACGAACCUUGAUGGAAAGAUCUGUGUCUGCUUUGUGUUCACAUGCUAUGGCGUUCCAACACCCCCUGCCACUCUCAGCCCUCCAGCCCUGUACCCAUCUGCAAAUUGACUCUCCUAGGAGUGUGCUACAAACCCUGUGUUCAGGCAGUCCCUGAACCAUGCCCAUCACACACUGACUUUAAAAUGAAGAUGCCAGAUGCUACUGAACUAGCCCUACAUGCUUCACAGAAAACAUCACUUCCAAAUGGACUACAAAUAAUGUACAAAUGCCGCCAGAGAGCAGACAUAAGGGACUAGGUGAGAACCUAGCUGAAGUUUCUUAGAUCAUCCCAUUCCUUAAUUGAUCUAGAGAGGGAGCAGCCAAUUUUUUUUGUGUGCAACAUUUGUGGGUGCUUAGGGGCAGUGGUAACACGCCGGCCAAGGAGCACCGCUAGGGGGCGCGAGCGCCACACGCAGUACUGGGGAUCUUCGAAGACCUGUCCUUUCUUUCCUGAAAGAGUGCCAAGCUUGCAGACAAGAGGCCAACGUGAAUUAAGAAUAUUAGAAUAAUUUCAGCCAAAAACUAAUGUUACUUAUCACACUUAACAUUUAAUAAUUCCUAAACGGCCUUGGAGUUGGAAUCAACUUGGAUCGGAGAAUCUUUCGUGCUUCCUUCCUUGCCCAGCUGCAAGAAGCCAGGGCAAUGAACAGAGCUUUCUGCUCCUGGACUGGGGUUGUUCUGAGGUCCCCAGUGCUCUCUGUGUGGAUACAGAAUAAUGGAUCACAAUGGUUCUCUGCAGAAGUAACUUUAAGAGAAAAAUUUAUCCUCUUAUUUUACCUCCCAAACUAGAUGCAUAAAUUGAAGUCAGUCAUUUUUAACUUUAUGUAGUAUCUUACAGAUGUCCUCAGCACAUAUUAUUUAAUUUCACAAUAAUCCAGCAAGUAAACAAAGACUGUAAUCAAUACUUGCAGAUGAGGAAACUGAAAAACAAUGAAGUGAAAUAUGGUGCCUGGAAUCUGCUGCUGACAAACAGCAGAGCCUAGAAAGGGCACAUCUCAGACUAAGCCAGGAACUCUCUCACCUGCCCUCAUGGCUCCAGCAUGGAAGUGGACGACAUGCAGGCCAAACUAACACAGAACAACCCUGAACAGCAAACUGUGUGUAGGAUGAACUAGAGACCCCUCUCAGUGGUUUACAGCACUUGCUGCUGUGGCAAAAGAAGUAGGGUUCAGUUCCCAGCAUCCACUUGUUACAAUUCUCUCUCCACAAGAUCUUCCUACUUCCUCAGACACAGAGCGAAUUUGGUGCAUGUACAUACACACGGACAAACACUUAUACUCAUAUAAUGGAUUUUAAAAAGAACUAGCCUCAGC